rnacentral:rRNA from 1 species
CAUACCAAUUGUUGCCUCGGCGGAUCAGCCCGCUCCCGGUAAAACGGGACGGCCCGCCAGAGGACCCCUAAACUCUGUUUCUAUAUGUAACUUCUGAGUAAAACCAUAAAUAAAUCAAAACUUUCAACAACGGAUCUCUUGGUUCUGGCAUCGAUGAAGAACGCAGCAAAAUGCGAUAAGUAAUGUGAAUUGCAGAAUUCAGUGAAUCAUCGAAUCUUUGAACGCACAUUGCGCCCGCCAGUAUUCUGGCGGGCAUGCCUGUUCGAGCGUCAUUUCAACCCUCAAGCCCAGCUUGGUGUUGGGACUCGCGAGUCAAAUCGCGUUCCCCAAAUUGAUUGGCGGUCACGUCGAGCUUCCAUAGCGUAGUAGUAAAACCCUCGUUACUGGUAAUCGUCGCGGCCACGCCGUUAAACCCCAACUUCUGAAUGUUGACCUCGGAUCAGGUAGGAAUACCCGCUGAACUUAAGCAUAUCAAUAAG